AGCGAACGCUGGCGGCAGGCUUAACACAUGCAAGUCGAGCGGGUGUAGCAAUACAUCAGCGGCAGACGGGUGAGUAACGCGUGGGAACGUACCUUUUGGUUCGGAACAACACAGGGAAACUUGUGCUAAUACCGGAUAAGCCCUUACGGGGAAAGAUUUAUCGCCGAAAGAUCGGCCCGCGUCUGAUUAGCUAGUUGGUAGGGUAACGGCCUACCAAGGCGACGAUCAGUAGCUGGUCUGAGAGGAUGAUCAGCCACAUUGGGACUGAGACACGGCCCAAAAUCCUACGGGAGGCAGCAGUGGGGAAUAUUGGACAAUGGGGGCAGCCCUGAUCCAGCCAUGCCGCGUGAGUGAUGAAGGCCCUAGGGUUGUAAAGCUCUUUUGUGCGGGAAGAUAAUGACGGUGCCGCAAGAAUAAGCCCCGGCUAACUUCGUGCCAGCCGCCGCCGUAAGAC
rnacentral:rRNA from 1 species